GAUGAACGCUGGCGGCGUGCCUAAUACAUGCAAGUCGAGCGAACAGAUGAGGAGCUUGCUCCUCUGACGUUAGCGGCGGACGGGUGAGUAACACGUGGAUAACCUACCUAUAAGACUGGGAUAACUUCGGGAAACCGUAGCUAAUACCGGAUAAUAUAUUGAACCGCAUGGUUCAAUAGUGAAAGACGGUUUUGCUGUCACUUAUAGAUGGAUCCGCGCCGCAUUAGCUAGUUGGUAAGGUAACGGCUUACCAAGGCAACGAUGCGUAGCCGACCUGAGAGGGUGAUCGGCCACACUGGAACUGAGACACGGUCCAGACUCCUACGGGAGGCAGCAGUAGGGAAUCUUCCGCAAUGGGCGAAAGCCUGACGGAGCAACGCCGCGUGAGUGAUGAAGGACUUCGGAUCGUAAAACUCUGUUAUUAGGGAAGAACAAAUGUGUAAGUAACUAUGCACGUCUUGACGGUACCUAAUCAGAAAGCCACGGCUAACUACGUG
rnacentral:rRNA from 1 species